rnacentral:sRNA from 1 species
GCGGAGCUGAACCCAGGAGUGGGGGGGUGGAGGCGGCUCCUGCGAUCGAAGGGGACUUGAGACUCACCGGCCGCACGCCAUGAGGGCCCUGUGGGUGCUGGGCCUCUGCUGCGUCCUGCUGACCUUCGGGUCGGUCAGAGCUGACGAUGAAGUUGAUGUGGAUGGUACAGUAGAAGAGGAUCUGGGUAAAAGUAGAGAAGGCUCAAGGACGGAUGAUGAAGUAGUACAGAGAGAGGAAGAAGCUAUUCAGUUGGAUGGAUUAAAUGCAUCACAAAUAAGAGAACUUAGAGAGAAGUCAGAAAAGUUUGCCUUCCAAGCCGAAGUUAACAGAAUGAUGAAACUUAUCAUCAAUUCAUUGUAUAAAAAUAAAGAGAUUUUCCUGAGAGAACUGAUUUCAAAUGCUUCCGACGCUUUAGAUAAGAUAAGGCUAAUAUCACUGACUGAUGAAAAUGCUCUUUCUGGAAAUGAGGAACUAACAGUCAAAAUUAAGUGUGAUAAGGAGAAGAACCUGCUGCAUGUCACAGACACCGGUGUAGGAAUGACCAGAGAAGAGUUGGUUAAAAACCUCGGUACCAUAGCCAAAUCUGGGACAAGCGAGUUUUUAAACAAAAUGACUGAAGCACAGGAAGAUGGCCAGUCAACUUCUGAAUUGAUUGGCCAGUUUGGUGUCGGUUUCUAUUCCGCCUUUCUUGUAGCAGAUAAGGUUAUUGUCACUUCAAAACACAACAACGAUACCCAGCACAUCUGGGAGUCUGACUCCAAUGAAUUUUCUGUAAUUGCUGACCCAAGAGGAAACACUCUAGGACGGGGAACGACAAUUACCCUUGUCUUAAAAGAAGAAGCAUCUGAUUACCUUGAAUUGGAUACAAUUAAAAAUCUCGUCAAAAAAUAUUCACAGUUCAUAAACUUUCCUAUUUAUGUAUGGAGCAGCAAGACUGAAACUGUUGAGGAGCCCAUGGAGGAAGAAGAAGCAGCCAAAGAAGAGAAAGAAGAAUCUGAUGAUGAAGCUGCAGUAGAGGAAGAAGAAGAAGAAAAGAAACCAAAGACUAAAAAAGUUGAAAAAACUGUCUGGGACUGGGAACUUAUGAAUGAUAUCAAACCAAUAUGGCAGAGACCAUCAAAAGAAGUAGAAGAAGAUGAAUACAAAGCUUUCUACAAAUCAUUUUCAAAGGAAAGUGAUGACCCCAUGGCUUAUAUUCACUUUACUGCUGAAGGGGAAGUUACCUUCAAAUCAAUUUUAUUUGUACCCACAUCUGCUCCACGUGGUCUAUUUGACGAAUAUGGAUCUAAAAAGAGCGAUUACAUUAAGCUCUAUGUGCGCCGUGUAUUCAUCACAGACGACUUCCAUGAUAUGAUGCCUAAAUACCUUAAUUUUGUCAAGGGUGUGGUGGACUCAGAUGAUCUCCCCUUGAAUGUUUCCCGCGAGACUCUUCAGCAACAUAAACUGCUUAAGGUGAUUAGGAAGAAGCUUGUUCGUAAAACGCUGGACAUGAUCAAGAAGAUUGCUGAUGAUAAAUACAAUGAUACUUUUUGGAAAGAAUUUGGUACCAACAUCAAGCUUGGUGUGAUUGAAGACCACUCGAAUCGAACACGUCUUGCUAAACUUCUUAGGUUCCAGUCUUCUCAUCAUCCAACCGACAUUACUAGCCUAGACCAGUAUGUGGAAAGAAUGAAGGAAAAACAAGACAAAAUCUACUUCAUGGCUGGGUCCAGCAGAAAAGAGGUGAGAUGAACUCGUAAGUGUUGUCAGCCAUUCUGGAAGGUAGCUAGGAAUUUAUAGCCAACUCUUGAGGGGGAGAAAAGGAAAACUUAAUUGUGUAACUGGAGUAGUUAUAAGGCCUGGUCAGUCACUGACAGGAAGAUGGUUUAUAUUCUCUGAACCUCCUAAUGCUUCACCUGUAAAAUGGGGUUUUUAAUGAUGUAUAAACAUAGCAGCUGCUAGGAUAAACAAAUACACCAGGGCCAGACUUGGAAAACUUUGUGACUUCUCUUAAUUUUGUAGGCUGAAUCUUCUCCAUUUGUUGAGCGACUUCUGAAAAAGGGCUAUGAAGUUAUUUACCUCACAGAACCUGUGGAUGAAUACUGUAUUCAGGCUCUUCCCGAAUUUGAUGGGAAGAGGUUCCAGAAUGUUGCCAAGGAAGGAGUGAAGUUUGAUGAAAGUGAGAAAACUAAGGAGAGUCGUGAAGCAAUUGAGAAAGAAUUUGAGCCUCUGCUGAAUUGGAUGAAAGAUAAAGCCCUUAAGGACAAGAUUGAAAAGGCUGUGGUGUCUCAGCGCCUGACAGAAUCUCCGUGUGCUUUGGUGGCCAGCCAGUACGGAUGGUCUGGCAACAUGGAGAGAAUCAUGAAAGCACAAGCGUACCAAACGGGCAAGGACAUCUCUACAAAUUACUAUGCAAGUCAGAAGAAAACAUUUGAAAUUAAUCCCAGACACCCGCUGAUCAGAGACAUGCUUCGACGAAUUAAGGAAGAUGAAGAUGAUAAAACAGUUUUGGAUCUUGCUGUGGUUUUGUUUGAAACAGCAACGCUUCGGUCAGGGUAUCUUUUACCAGACACUAAAGCAUAUGGAGAUAGAAUAGAAAGAAUGCUUCGCCUCAGUUUGAACAUUGACCCUGAUGCAAAGGUGGAAGAAGAGCCCGAAGAAGAACCUGAAGAGACAACAGAAGACACAACAGAAGACACAGAGCAAGACGAAGAUGAAGAAAUGGAUGUGGGAACAGAUGAAGAAGAACAAGAAACAGCAAAGGAAUCUACAGCUGAAAAAGAUGAAUUGUAAAUUAUACUCUCACCAUUUGGAUCCUGUGUGGAGAGGGAAUGUGAAAUUUACAUCAUUUCUUUUGGGAGAGACUUGUUUUGGAUGCCCCCCAAUCCCCUUCUCCCCUGCGCUGUAAAAUGUGGGAUUAUGGGUCACAGGAAGAAGUGGGUUUUUUAGUUGAAUUUUUUUUUUAACAUUCCUCAUGAAUGUAAAUUUGUACUAUUUAACUGACUAUUCUUGAUGUAAAAUCUUGUCAUGUGUAUAAAAAUAAAAAAGAUCCCAAAUAC